UUUAAUACCAAGCUGCCUCCGGAAAGCAGAUGACUGCUGCCAAGUGCAGAGAGCGGGUCAGAGCUGCAGGUACCACCUCCGGAACAGCAGAGAAAAAGCAGCCCCACAGACAUUCCCAGGAGCCUGGCAUUUCACAGGUCUUUGGCUGGAGCAAUGAAGCAGACUGAACAGGCAUUGCAACUACUUCGUUGCUUAUACAGCACCUGGCAUGAGGAAUGGCCGAGCUGGCUUCUUGCUGAGGAGCUCCAGAGGAGGUGGGACCCCUUCACUGCAAGGAUGCACACACAGGUCUCACUCAUUACUACCUCACCUGAGGCAUCUCUGAAGUUCCCACUAUCUAACUGCAGACAG